CCGCCCGUGGCGCAGCCGGAUAACGCAGCAGAUUCCGAUUCUGAAGAACGGGGGUUCGAAUCCCUCCGGGCGGGCCA
rnacentral:tRNA from 1 species